rnacentral:rRNA from 1 species
AGGACGAACGCUGGCGGCGUGCUUAACACAUGCAAGUCGAACGGUGACCCUCGGAGCUUGCUUCGAGGUGAUCAGUGGCGAACGGGUGAGUAACACGUGAGUAACCUGCCCCAGACUCUGGGAUAACCCCGGGAAACCGGAGCUAAUACCGGAUAUGACACGGAGAGGCAUCUCUACCGUGUGGAAAGUUUUUCGGUCUGGGAUGGACUCGCGGCCUAUCAGCUUGUUGGUGAGGUAAUGGCUCACCAAGGCGACGACGGGUAGCCGGCCUGAGAGGGCGACCGGCCACACUGGGACUGAGACACGGCCCAGACUCCUACGGGAGGCAGCAGUGGGGAAUAUUGCACAAUGGGCGAAAGCCUGAUGCAGCGACGCCGCGUGAGGGAUGAAGGCCUUCGGGUUGUAAACCUCUUUCAGCAGGGAAGAAGCGAAAGUGACGGUACCUGCAGAAGAAGCACCGGCUAACGUACGCGCCAGCAGCCGCGGU